rnacentral:rRNA from 1 species
GCGUGGAGACAGGUGGUGCAUGGCUGUCGUCAGCUCGUGUCGUGAGAUGUUGGGUUAAGUCCCGCAACGAGCGCAACCCUCACCUCUUGUUGCCACCAGGUCAUGCUGGGCACUCUAGAGGAACUGCCCCGGUCAACGGGGAGGAAGGCGGGGAUGACGUCAAGUCAUCAUGCCCCUUACGUCCUGGGCUACACACGUGCUACAAUGGCCGGUACAAAGGGAUGCCACACCGCGAGGUAGAGCUAAACCCAAAAAGCCGGUCUAAGUUCAGAUUGGAGUCUGCAACUCGACUCCAUGAAGGAGGAAUCGCUAGUAAUCGCGCAUCAGCACGGCGCGGUGAAUACGUUCCCGGGCCUUGUACACACCGCCCGUCACACCACGAAAGCCAGCUGUACUCGAAGUCGCUGAG